rnacentral:rRNA from 1 species
GACCGAUAGAAUGGAAAUGCAAAGUGUUAGAGGGUUUCCGCCCUUUAGUCGCUAGAAGUUAACGCAUUAAGCACUCCGCCUGGGGAGUACGGCCGCAAGGCUGAAACUCAGAGGAAUUGACGGGGGCCCGCACAAGCGGUGGAGCAUGUGGUUUAAUUCUAAGCAACGCGAAGAACCUUACCAGGUCUUGACAUCCUCUGACAACCCUAGAGAUAGGGCUUCUCCUUCGGGAGCAGAGUGACAGGUGGUGCAUGGUUGUCGUCAGCUCGUGUCGUGAGAUGUUGGGUUAAGUCCCGCAACGAGCGCAACCCUUGAUCUUAGUUGCCAUCAUUAAGUUGGGCACUCUAAGGUGACUGCCGGUGACAAACCGGAGGAAGGUGGGGAUGACGUCAAAUCAUCAUGCCCCUUAUGACCUGGGCUACACACGUGCUACAAUGGACGGAACAAAGAGCUGCAAGACCGCGAGGUGGAGCUAAUCUCAUAAAACCGUUCUCAGUUCGGAUUGUAGGCUGCAACUCGCCUACAUGAAGCUGGAAUCGCUAGUAAUCGCGGAUCAGCAUGCCGCGGAGAAUACGUUCCCGGGCCUUGUACACACCGCCCGUCACACCACGAGAGUUUGUAACACCCGAAGUCGGUGGGGUAACCUUUUGGGAGCCACCCGCUAAGGUGGGAGAGAAGAAUGGGGUGGAAUUCUAGCAAGGAAACCCGAAA